GACAUAAAAGAACUUGCAAAUUUUGUAAUUGGAAAAAGUAACCUAAAUAGUAUACGUCUAUGAUAGUUAAUAUAUGUAAAUUGAAAAGGAAGUCUACCAUGGUGCAGCCUUCAUUUGGAGUCUACAUAAAAAAAAUAUAUUAAAAGUGAAUUUGUGUAUUAUUCAUUAAACAGUUUCACGACUUUAUUGUUUCAUGGUAUGUAUUAGUGAAUCCUAAUGGUCUUGAAUGAAUUUCAAAAGUUAUGUUAUAAUUAUGGAGCUAUCAAAUAUCUUGUUUGACUAUGUUGUUAACUCAUAAACAUAGACUUCUUUAAAAGUCUAGUUUUUAAUUUUAUCAAACAUGACAUAUUUGUUUGUUAAGUUUGUAUAUCGUGUUUGUUUUUGCUGGGAAUGGUACAAUUAUCUGUUGUAUACGGAGAGUGGGUGGUGAAAAACUCUUUGUGGGAGUUUGUGGUUGAUGAUCGGAAAGGAGGGAAAAUUUGCUUUCUAUAUGAUGGUUGUACAUAUCGUGAGUUUCUUGAAAUGGCACAAAAAGAUUAUGAUGUGGACAAAAAAUUGAGAUGGUGGAGUUAAUUUAUUCCUUACGAGACCUAAUGUUACAGGAAAUACCUCUGGAUACUGCUCAUAUGCAUGUCACGAAUGAUAGACAAGUGUGGAACUUGAUCGAGUUAUCUAAGAUGUGUAUUGUAUUGUAUGACUUUGUUUAUCAAGUCAAUGCCAUAAAGAAGUUGGGCUUGACGACAAUGUGGAUGUGUUUGAUGGUAAUGGUAGUAGUUUUGUUGAUUAAGAUUUUGAUGAAGGGUUGGAUGAGAUAAUGUUGCUGAUGAUGUCCAAACAACUGAAGUAUACUCUUGAGACUUAUUGAAAAGUUUUUGUGAGUAAUUUACUCUAAAGACUUUUUGAGAAGUUUUUAUAGAUUUUCUUGUUCGCACAUAUGUGUUAGUUCUUGUUUUUCCAUAUGGUGGAUUCAAACUGUUUGUUGAUUAGAAUAUGUGGAGAUAAAUUUGAUAACAAAAAUUAAUAAUAUCAUACAUACAAGUGAAACACAAUUAAAAAUAGUAAUUUACAAACAAAUCUUUUUAUAAUGAUAAUUAAUUACAAAGGAAUAUUUUAUAAGAUUCUUCUAGAGAUUAUUUGAUUAUUCAUAAUCUUGGUGGCUCAAAUGAAGUAUGCUAAUAAGACAUACAAAAACACACAAAAUAAUAUUAAAAAUGCUUUAAAUUAUAAAAAGAUAAUAUAUAAAAGUAUAGAAUAAAAUUUUAGUAGAUUUCAUUUGAAGUCUACAUAAAAUUUAUGCUUUAGUAUACUUCAUAUGAAAUAUACUAACCUUAACUUUUAUAAUAUGAAUUUAAAAUAGAUAUAUCUAAAUUGUAUAUGUUUGGAAGGGAGAGAUUAAAGGCUUGGAAGAGAGUAUCAAUAAAAUAAGAUAAAUUAUAAGAACAAAUACGAUAAAAAUGAAAAUCAUAUUUUUGUAGACUUCUCAUGAAAUCUGCCUAAAAUUUAUAUUUGGUAAACUUCAUUUGAAAUCUACUAGCCUUAAUUUUGAAUUAGACUUCAUCAGAAGUAUACUGUAUUAGAUAAUUUCCAGAUUAAAAAUGUUCAUUUAGAAAACUUGUAAAAAUAGCUUCAGAUUUUAAAACUAGAUUUUUAAAGCUAAAAUAGUAGCAAAGUAAAAACAUAAAUUUUGACAAUAAGUUUAUUUUAAUAUAAAUAAAAUACACAAUUAAAUUUUGUAGAUAUAAUUUUUAGAUUUUUGAGAGGAGGAAUUGAAAACCAUGGAAAAUAAUAUUUUAAAAAUAAGAUAAUAUUAUGAGAAACAUAUAAGACCAAAAAUUCAAAAUCAUAUUUACUAGACAUAAUGAAGUCUACUCUACAAAAUUCUGAUCUAAAAAAUCUGUAAAUUUGGAAACGUGAAUAUAGCUUUAAAUAUGAAAAUUUUGAAAAAUAGAAUUUAUAAGAUAAAAUAAUAGAAAAAAAAUUACAUAGAUUUUGAAUCUAUAGCUUUAUUUGAAUUUAAACAUAAAAUACAUAUUUAAAUUUAUUGAUCUAGAUCUUACAUUUUAAGAGGAGGAAAUGAAAAUACAUGAAAUUUUUUAAAUAAACUAGACUAAUGUUUUUCUUUAAAUUCAAAAAUAUUAGAGAACAAUUAGAGAGUUUUGGAGAGAAUGAAGAGAGUUCUCGAGAGAAUGAAGAGAGUUUUAGAGAGAAGUGAGAUAGUUUUAUAAUAUCAAAAUUUUGUGAAGCCAUUUUAUAAAGAGAAUUUGAAAAUUGCCUUUAUAUAUGGAGACAAAAAUUGUAACUAGGUAAAACUUUAUGGCACAAUAGACUUCAACAAGAAGUCUACUAAACUUAAAAUUAUGGAGUCUACGUAGUAGUCGACCUUUUGGAAAUAUAUUACAAUAAAUUCAUUAUUGUUAUUUAUUUUUAUUGUGCUAAUAAUUUUAAUAUAAGAUUUAGAAAAAAAUUAUUUAUUUUUUUGGUAGUUUUAACAUAUGAUAGCUAAAAAAAAGUUUUAACAUAUGAUUUCAUAAUUUUUAUUUAAUCAAAACUAAUUUAGUUAAAAAAUUGUUUUAAUUUUUGUAAUAUUCAAUAUUAGUAGACUAAAAAGGAAGUCUAUUAUACCCUAAAAUCAAGUAUACUUCAUUUGAAGUCUACUAAACCCCAAACCAUAAGUAUUGUCCAACACAAGGUUACCAAACCCAUAUAUAUUCUGGUAAAUUGUUCAACUGUAUUAAAUUUUAAUUUAUAUACCUCAUUUUGAUUCUUUUAUUGUUGAUUUAUAAUAAAUUUUGCACAAAUUAUUUUCAUACAUUUUUAAAAUAAAAUUAUUAUAUCAAAUUAUGACGUAGACUUCCUAGGAAGUCAACACCUUUUAGAUUUAUUUCUUAUAAGUGUAGACAUCCGAAGAAUAGAAUCAUAAAAUAACUUUCUGUUUUUUGUUUGGCAUAAAAAUAAAUACUAAUUUUAGGGUUGACUGUCUAUUCCCCCAUAUAAAGACAAUGACCCUAUCUAUAACCCACUAUAUUACAUACCUUUUGACUAAACCACCCAUAUAUAUGAAUUCUCUUCAUAUUGCCCCCUAUUAUUUUUAACAUUGUCCAUAUCGCCCUUUCUAAUCUAAUUCCGAAAUCAAGAUUAAAACUUAAGAAAUUGAGUUUUGUAAACAUAGAGAUUGCCCAUUAAGAAAAAACCGAUCCGACACUAAAAACCGAUCCGACUCAACAAAAAAAUGAAAACGAUUAUUGGGUGUAAAUUUAAAUGUAUUAAAUUUUAAUUUAUAUACCUCAUUUUGAUUCUUAUAUUGAUGAUUUAUAAUAUUUUCUGCACAAAUUAUUUUUAUACAUUUUUAAAAUAAAAUUAUCAUAUCAAAUUAUGACGUAGACUUCCUAGGAAAUCAACACCUUUUAGAUUUAUUUCUUAUAAGUGUAGACGUCCGAAGAAUAGAAUCAUAAAAUAACUUUCUGUUUUUUGUUUGGCAUAAAAAUAAAUACUAAUUUUAGGGUUGACUGCAUAUUCCCCCAUAUAAACACAAUGACCCUAUCUAUAACCCACUAUAUUACCUACCUUUUGACUAGACCACACAUAUAUAUGAAUUCUCUUCAUAUUGCCCCCUAUUAUUUUUAACACUGUCCAUAUCCCCCUGUCUAAUCUAAUUCCGAAAUCAAGAUUAAAACUUAAGAAAUUGAGUUUUGUAAACAUAGACAUUGCCCAUUAAGAAAAAACCGAUCCGACACUAAAAACCGAUCCGACACAACAAAAAAAUGAAAACGAUUAUUGGGUGUAAAUUUAAAUGAGGUUUUGGUUUCUUUUCUUAAGACAACUAAGACCAUCAUUAAUGCAGUUUCUUGGUAGGGUUUUUAAACAAAAGAAAGCAUUUAAUUAAAUCAAAACAAAAAGAAAUUAUGGUAACCGAUCCUUAGUGAAGUGUUUUGGCAACCGAUCAUUAAGCGGUUUAUUAAUAUACGUGACAUGAAACUGUUAAUUUCUUUUUUUCCUUUUCUUUUCUUUCUCUCCUUUCUCAUCUUUUCUCGUGUUCUCCGUCGGGAGGACGAUUGGUUUUGUGAAAGGUAUCAUCUCCUCCGUGCAAUCGGCGUAUCUCUGUUUUUCCCUUCUCUCGUCAUCUCCUGUGAGGAGAGGGUACUGGGGUAACAAAAUUGGCAAGCCGCAUACGGUUUCUUGUAAGGUUACGGGGAAGUGUGGUUCCGUUACGGUGAGGAUGGUUCCUGCUCCCAGAGGUGCUGGUAUCGUGGCGGCUAGGGUUCCUAAGAUGGUGCUUCAGUUCAAUGGGAUUGAUGAUGUUUUCACUUCUUCCAGGGGAUCUACUAAGACUCUUGGAAACUUCGUCAAGUACUCAUGGAUAAUCAGAGAGAGAUAGAUAUUUGUGUUGAGAUGUGACAAAGCCUUUAGAGGUUCUUUGUUUAUCAUUAUGCUCUGCUCCAUCUCUUAAGCUAAAACAAAAUGGAUGGGUUGGAAACUUUGCGCUUGGAGCAAGCUAUAUCAGUUUGCCAUGGUGGGCUGGGCAAGCAUUGUUUGGCACUGAUGCUGCAAAAUGGAUAUGCGUUAGUGCUAUAGACGUUACUCAGCUCUCUGUUUCCGGUAUGUAGUAUGACUUCUAUUUCUUGUGCUUGAUCUUAUGAACUAGAUGAUCAUUAGUGAAUGUCUAUUCUGGUUGCAGUGUAUCUUGUGAUCAAAAUUUAUACAUAAAGUAAUCAAAAACAAUUUCUACUUUUUAAUCACAUAUAUGGCAUCUUCUUCUCAAAUCUAUUUUUACUAUGUUUUAUUUUUUAAAAAAAUUUAAUUUUAAUACAACAAUGUUUAAAUUUUUUUUUUAAGAACCCUUCAUUAAGAAACUCCCAAUGGAGCACAAAAUCUAGAAGUUUCUUAAUUAAAAUUUUUAACUAAUUUUUAUUAUCAAACAAGUCACUAAGAAACCCAAAUGGAGUUAUAGGGAUAAUGAUGCUCUAAGAACAGAUACGACAAAGAACAAAUAGAGAGAUAAGAG